rnacentral:lncRNA from 1 species
ACAAAGCUACGGAACGUGAAUAUUUUUGUAGGGUCUAUUGUCUUUUAUGUAUUUUUAUUUUUUUGGGGAACAAAUUCAAUUUUUAAUAUUUUUUUAUUUUGUUGGUCAGCCUCGAAACUGUAUCCCUAUAUUAGUAAAAGAGAAGUACAAAAAGUGCUUCCGGGUCGGCUCAAUUUCAAAAAAUUAUCCGAAAUUUGUAACUGGAACUUUUAAAAUUGGAUAGAUUAAUGGGUUUGGAUACAUACACCGGAUACUUUCC